rnacentral:lncRNA from 1 species
UAUUAAAAUAAAAAACUUAAUUAAAUCCUAAAGAUCCUAAACUUGGUCAAAUCUUAACCAAAUCUUAACCAAAUCCUAGUCAAAUCCUAAUCAAAUCCUAACCAAACUUUAAUCAACUCUAAAUAAACUCUAUUCAAAUCCUAACAAAUCCAAACCAAAUCCUAAUCAAACCUUAACCAAAUCCUAGUCAAAUCCUAAACAAAUCCUAACAAAAUCCUAAUCAAAAUCUAACCAAAUCCUAAUCAAAUCCUAAUCAAAUCCUAACUAAAUCUUGAUCAAAUUCUAAUAAAAUUCUAGUGAAUCUUAAAUAUAUCCUAAUCAAAUCCUAAAAAAAUCCUAACCAGAUCCUAACCAAAUACUAGACAAAUCCUAACCAAAUCCUAAUCAAAUCUUAGUCAAAUCCUAAUAAAAUCCUAAUCAAAUCUCAACCAAAAUCUAAUCAAAUCUUAACCAAA